UAUAGUUUUCUUGGUUUUAGAACUUUACUUUUGUGUGGAAUUAGUGCAAUGUAUUUCAAUUUGCCUUGCUAACUUUAGUAGCAAGAAGCUAGCUACCAGAGUGCAGUUUUCUCCACCAGAAUGGCUAGCUAAUGCUAAAAACAAUGUAGUGGAUUUUUUGUUGAAGAACCCCUUUCAUUGCCCACAUUAAAUUCAAGCUUCCGCAUCGAUCAUGUAACGGACGAACGUCUGAGUAUUUGAACUGCGCAACACAACGAGAAGCUAAGUCCCCUCCUGUUCCCUGAUUAAGAGGUGAUGACCACUCCACUACCAUUGUCAACUCUCUCCUGACAUGAACUGAAGCCAUGUCUCAUGUGCCCUCUCAUCCACUGGCCCAUUGAAUGUUUCCUCUCCAAGCACUUCAAAUCCUGUCCUGCCCUCAGUGGAAGAGUUGAGCUCUUCUCCAACACCAUCCAUCCAUGAUGAGCCUGUCCUGCACUAAAGCCUAUGAACACCUCUACCCCUGUGCUGCACUGAAGUCAAGCCUCUGAAAACCUCAACUCAUGCCUCAUACCUUCAUUCAAUCACUGCUGUGAUCCCUUCCCAAAACAGUGUAAGUAGCCCUGUCAUUCACAUUCCCUAUAAUAUUGUACUAUAAAUGUCUUUAUUAAAUGCUUUAGGUUAAAAUAAUUAGUCUUUGACGAUUUUUGAAACACGCUUUGUCGUCUCCAUGCAGUCCGCGCCUAUACUGUGGGUCUCCCAUCCUCCUCAAUUGUUCAAGUCACCAGCCUCCACUGAUCCACAUGUGUGGUUGUAUUGUGUUUUUAAAUGGUCAAAUAAAUCAACAACAUAAAAAAGUGUC